rnacentral:rRNA from 1 species
AACGAACGCUGGCGGCAGGCCUAACACAUGCAAGUCGAACGCUGUAGCAAUACAGAGUGGCAGACGGGUGAGUAACGCGUGGGAACCUUCCCAAUGGUGCGGAAUAGCCCAGGGAAACUUGGGGUAAUACCGCAUAAGCCCUUAGGGGGAAAGAUUUAUCGCCAUUGGAUGGGCCCGCGCCGGAUUAGCUAGUUGGUGAGGUAAUGGCUCACCAAGGCAACGAUCCGUAGCUGGUUUGAGUGAAUGACCAGCCAGCCUGGGACUGAGGCACGGCCCGGACUCCUAGGGGAGGCAGAGGUGGGGAAUCUUGGGAAAUGGGCGCGAGCCUGAUCCAGCCAGGCCGCGUGAGUGACGAAGGCCUUAGGGUUGUAAAGCGCUUUUGCCGGGGACGAUAAUGACGGUACCCGGAGAAUAAGUCCCGGCUAACUUCGUGCCAGCAGACGCCGUAACA